CAGACGUGUUAUUCAGGGAGACUCUUCUUGUUCCCAAUACUCCCUGGUUGGGGAACUACUUAACUACAGAUGGUAAGUCACAACUGUUCCACGCAGAGGGGAGAGCUAGGCUCCGGGCUACAAAAUGUUGAAAACCACAGCACAGAAGCCACAUACAACACCCAACCGCCAGCUUGCCACUAAGAUAGUAGAGAAAACAGAAAGGAGGCAGAUGUGGUCGCUGCCCAGUUGGCAUCGGUGGCAGGAACAAGGCUUCAAAUGAAAUUCUUCUCUGCGUGUGACUCUGAAGAAAGAGGAGCCAGGGCUUUCUAGAAUGCUAAUGGCACAUCAAACUCCAAAUGGGACGUCAAGACCAGCCGCAGUCUUUCCGUCUGUUUCUGACGCCAUCAUCACAAUGAAGGUUCUGCUGUCCGGUUAAGGCUGGCCAUCUUGGUGUUGCCCCAAGUGAUGGAAAACUGCCCCCUCUCUCUGUCUCUAUCUCUUCAAAGCAAAGAGAGACAGGAUGGUCAGAGGAAAUAUACUUAUGUUUGGUUGCUCUAAUAAUUAAGCAACACAGGAGCAAGUGAGCAGAGGGAGAACCAACGACAGAGACAAUUUUAGGAACUGUUUGAGGAAUAUGCUUCCUCUUGCAAAUAUUUGGACUUCAGUCUUCAGCUUUGGGUUUUUUUUUUAAGUUUAUUUGUUUAUUUUGAGGUGGGGGAGGGGCAGAGGGGCAGGGAAAGAGAAUCCCAAGCAGACUUUGAGCUCAGAGUCCCAUGAGAGCUGGAUCCCCGGAACUGUGAGAUCACGACUCGACACAAAAUCAAGAGUCAGAUGCUUAACCCACUGAGCCACCCAGGCACCCUCAGCCUUGGGAUCUAGAGCCUUGAUUUUGGUAUAUAGGGUUUCUUUCCAGUUAUCUCAAGGGUGGGAAGGGUUAUAACCUCCUUAAAGAUAACAUGUAUUCGCAAUUCACCCAAUUCUUCAAAUAAAGGUAAGCUUCAAGGAAGGCUUGCUGUUCGUUCGUUUCUGGUAUAUGCAAAAA